CGCCCCCGCACACACACACCACACUGAUGUCUCCAGUUCCGACAGCACUAGUUUACAUGUCGAUAGAGAGCCGAAGACUGAGGCCGACGCGGACGCGGAGGAGCUAAGAAGACGCCGAUUGCAGAAAUUCACAACGGCCAAAUAAUAAUUACUUUGCACGGAAAAUUUUCAGUUCAAGUUAUCAACUUGCUAUUAAUUCUAAUGUAAAAAGUGUUUUGGUAUGCAAACAUUGUGUAUUCUAAUCUAAAACAAAAUGUAUUUAUGUUCUUGUAAAUAUAAAGGGUUAUACACAUGAAUACAUUUAAAUAACACUUUAUUUUUUUAAACACUUCUUCGAAUUCAACUAAAUAUAUCUUAGUUUAAAUAUAAUAUACAUUUUAAAUACAUUUCAGCAGUUGUAAAAAGCAUUAAUAUAUCCAUAUACCUUUGGAUUGUAGUUUUCUAAGACUGGGAUUCCGUUAAAGUAACAACUCCUAUCGUAAAGUUUCACAUCAUUUUUGCAGUACCACACAUUCUUUGUACCCUCAACCCCGUCAACAUUCAAUGUGUUCAGUUCAAAUACACCGAAAUGAUAUUUCUGUCCGUCUGUUUGUAUGCAGUUCACGUAAAUCGGCUCCGGCAAAUCUUCAACUUCUUCCUGUGAAAAAACAUAUUUAUUAUAGUAAAUAACUUUGGAAAUACAACUAAUUAUUUUGUACCCCAAAGAUUUUUUUUCUCCAUACAAAUUAUAGAAAAAGUAUUGAUAAUUGU